CGGCUACUUCUGUAAGGACCUCAGUGAGGGGUGGAUGUAUGGCAGUUCAGAGACACAAGGAUUGCAGCCCUGGCCAAUACAUCAGCCAAAGAGGAACAGCUUCUCAAGACACAGUGUGCCUUAAUUGCAACCAUGGAACAUUCUCAAAUGGCAACUCAACAUAUUGCCGGCCCCACAAAAUAUGUGAACAUCUGGGACUGGAGCAGUUGAAACCAGGAAGUGAUUCCAAAGAUUCUGAAUAGUUCAUUCAAAGGCGGGGAUAAAAGUGUUUGGGAGGUAUUAGGAUUAAUAGUACUUGGAACACUAAUUCAAGUAGUGGCAAUCUUCGUCCUGAUGCUAUGUCUAUGUAUUUAUAUACAUUGUUUACCACACGUUGAAGGCCUAAAUGCCUCUAAGUUAAGUUUUGUGUGAGGAGGUUGAAUGAUUCCAGUGGUGCUAGUUAUCCAGGUCUGCACCACUUUUUUAAGUAAAACUGAAUGAUGGUGCUACAUUUCAUUGGAAAGAGCCUGGGGGAGACUAACAUUUUGGCCAGCCAAUUGGGUGGGAAUUGAGAUGGGGCGGAUUGGUCAUGACCAGUGUCUCAGGGCAGCUCAAUGCUGCUAGUCUGAAUUCAGCAAUUCAUUCGCUCAGACUUAAUUGGUG